GUCCACGCCUAACGAUGCAUACUUGGUGUGGCCAUUCAUUGGUCUGUGCCGGAGCUAACGCGUUAAGUAUGCCGCCUGGGAGUACGGUCGCAAGGCUGAACUCAAAGGAAUUGACGGGGCCCGCACAAGCGGUGGAGCAUGUGGUUCAAUUCGACGCAACGCGAAGAACCUUACCUGGGCUCGAACGGCUUCAGAACAUCCUCAGAAACGGGGACUUCUCGCAAGAGACUGGAGUCGAGGUGCUGCAUGGCUGUCGU
rnacentral:rRNA from 1 species